UGAGUUUGAUUAUGGCUCAGAGUGAACGCUGGCGGCGUGCUUAACACAUGCAAGUCGAACGAGAACGGACUUAAGCUUGCUUAAGUUGUCAGCUAAGUGGCGCACGGGUGAGUAAUGUAUAGUUAACCUGCCCUCGAGAAAGGAAUAACAGUUGGAAACGACUGCUAAUGCCCUAUAUGCCUAUAAGACAUAAGUCUGCUAGGGAAACGCUUUUGUGCUCGAGGAUGGGACUGUAUGGUAUCAGCUAGUUGGUGAGGUAAUGGCUCACCAAGGCAAUGACGCCUAACUGGUUUGAGAGGAUGAUCAGUCACACUGGAACUGAGACACGGUCCAGACUCCUACGGGAGGCAGCAGUGGGGAAUAUUGCACAAUGGAGGAAACUCUGAUGCAGCAACACCGCGUGGAGGAUGACACUUUUCGGAGCGUAAACUCCUUUUAUAUAGGAAGAUAAUGACGGUACUAUAUGAAUAANNNCCGGCUAACUCCGUGCCAGCAGCCGCGGUAAUACGGAGGGUGCAAGCGUUACUCGGAAUCACUGGGCGUAAAGAGCGUGUAGGCGGGUUAAUAAGUCAGAAGUGAAAUCCUAUAGCUCAACUAUAGAACUGCUUUUGAAACUGUUAACCUAGAAUAUGGGAGAGGUAGAUGGAAUUUCUGGUGUAG
rnacentral:rRNA from 1 species